rnacentral:rRNA from 1 species
AGUGAACGCUGGCGGUAGGCCUAACACAUGCGAGUCGAACGGCAGCACAGUAAGAGCUUGCUCUUACGGGUGGCGAGUGGCGGACGGGUGAGGAAUACAUCGGAAUCUACUUUUUCGUGGGGGAUAACGUAGGGAAACUUACGCUAAUACCGCAUACGACCUACGGGUGAAAGCAGGGGAUCUUCGGACCUUGCGCGAUUGAAUGAGCCGAUGUCGGAUUAGCUAGUUGGCGGGGUAAAGGCCCACCAAGGCGACGAUCCGUAGCUGGUCUGAGAGGAUGAUCAGCCACACUGGAACUGAGACACGGUCCAGACUCCUACGGGAGGCAGCAGUGGGGAAUAUUGGACAAUGGGCGCAAGCCUGAUCCAGCCAUACCGCGUGGGUGAAGAAGGCCUUCGGGUUGUAAAGCCCUUUGUUGGGAAAGAAAAGCAGCAGGUUAAUACCCCGCUGUUCUGACGGUACCCAAAGAAUAAGCACCGGCUAACUUCGUG